GGGCGUGCGCGGAGGUCAGCUGCCGACACUGACUAGGAACGGGAAAUCAGCGUGAGACACGGCGGAGGGGCCUACUGACGUUCCAGUCGGAAACAGUGUUGUUUCAGUUUCCAGCAGGGAAGUUAAGUUAUUCAGGAAGCCUGGAAAAUGCUUCACAUGAUUAGGGUAUGUGUUAUUAUUAUUGACAUUUUUAUGUAACUAGGCAAGGUUAUUUAACUAUGCUGAAUUUAUUUAUUUAUUCAUUUAUUUAGGCAUAUUUGUAUUCAGGUGACAG
rnacentral:lncRNA from 8 species